CUAUGCGCCUUGCCAGCCGCUCAGGUGUGCCAGCAGCCGCGGUAAUACGGAGGAUGCGAGCGUUAUCCGGAUUUAUUGGGUUUAAAGGGUGCGUAGGUGGUUAAUUAAGUCAGCGGUGAAAGUUUGUGGCUCAACCAUAAAAUUGCCGUUGAAACUGGUUGACUUGAGUAUAUUUGAGGUAGGCGGAAUGCGUGGUGUAGCGGUGAAAUGCAUAGAUAUCACGCAGAACUCCGAUUGCGAAGGCAGCAUACCGGCGCCCUACUGACGCUGAGGCACGGAAGCGUGGGUAUCGAACAGG
rnacentral:rRNA from 1 species